UACGUAGGGUGCAAGCGUUGUCCGGAAUUAUUGGGCGUAAAGAGCUCGUAGGCGGUUUGUCGCGUCUGCUGUGAAAACUCAGGGCUUAACCCUGAGCCUGCAGUGGGUACGGGCAGACUAGAGUGUGGUAGGGGAGAUCGGAAUUCCUGGUGUAGCGGUGGAAUGCGCAGAUAUCAGGAGGAACACCGGUGGCGAAGGCGGAUCUCUGGGCCAUAACUGACGCUGGAGGAGCGAAAAGCAUGGG
rnacentral:rRNA from 1 species